UCUGAUUAGCUAGUUGGUAGGGUAAAAGCCUACCAAGGCAUCGAUCAGUAACUGGUCUGAGAGGAUGACCAGUCACACUGGGACUGAGACACGGCCCAGACUCCUACGGGAGGCAGCAGUGGGGAAUUUUCCGCAAUGGGCGAAAGCCUGACGGAGCAAUACCGCGUGAGGGAGGAAGGCUCUUGGGUUGUAAACCUCUUUUCUCAGGGAAGAACAAAAUGACGGUACCUGAGGAAUCAGCAUCGGCUAACUCCGUGCCAGCAGCCGCGGUAAUACGGAGGAUGCAAGCGUUAUCCGGAAUGAUUGGGCGUAAAGCGUCCGCAGGUGGCUGCUUCAAGUCUGCAGUCAAAGCUCAGGGCUUAACCCUGAAUCGGCGGUGGAAACUGAACAGCUAGAGUGCGGUAGGGGUAGAGGGAAUUCCCAGUGUAGCGGUGAAAUGCGUAGAGAUUGGGAAGAACACCAGUGGCGAAAGCGCUCUGCUGGACCGCAACUGACACUCAUGGACGAAAGCUAGGGGAGCGAAUGGGAUUAGAUACCCCAGUAGUCCUAGCCGU
rnacentral:rRNA from 1 species